rnacentral:rRNA from 1 species
AUUGAACGCUGGCGGCAGGCCUAACACAUGCAAGUCGAACGAGUGGCGGACGGGUGAGUAAUGUAUGGGAAACUGCCCGAUGGAGGGGGAUAACUACUGGAAACGGUAGCUAAUACCGCAUACCAUCGGAUGUGCCCAUAUGGGAUUAGCUAGUAGGUGGGGUACAGGCUCACCUAGGCGACGAUCCCUAGCUGGUCUGAGAGGAUGAUCUGCCACACUGGGACUGAGACACGGCCCAGACUCCUACGGGAGGCAGCAGUGGGGAAUAUUGCACAAUGGGCGCAAGCCUGAUGCAGCCAUGCCGCGUGUAUGAAGAAGGCCUUAGGGUUGUAAAGUACUUUCAGCGGGGAGGCGUUACUCGCAGAAGAAGCACCGGCUAACUCCGUGCCAGCAGCCGCGGUAAUAC